rnacentral:lncRNA from 1 species
UGUGCCUACUCCAGUACCUGAUUGAACACACACACACACACACACACACACACACACACACACACACUCCUCCCCCACCUCUUAAAUUUUUAAAUAAAUGAAUGAAUGAAAUUAUUUAUUGUGUUGACUGGGCACGAUGCCGUAGGCCUUUAAUCCUAGCCCACAGGGUGAGGCAGGAGUUUCUGUGAAGCCAGCCUAGUCUACAUAGUGUGUUCCAGGACAGCCUGAGCUACAAACAAACGUUUAUUGUAAUAAUGACUGAUAGGCUUCAGCACCUUCAAAGUUCUAGUUUAUCUCUGGAUUCAAAAUGAACUGUAGUUCCUAAAAUGAGUUCUUGUUAACAUAGUGGGCUUGUGGCUGUUCUCUUUGGUUAUAAUGUGUUUUAUUGCCCCGGCUUAAUACAUUGUUUUAGGGCAGGGAGAGAAAAAGAUGGAAAUGAGAGCAGAAACUAACUGAUGGAGGUUGUUUGGGUUAGGAGAGGACCCAGUACCAAAGGAAUUAGGUCCAUGGGGUUCUUUUCAGAAGCUGUAGAUUGGGGCUGUUUUGAAGGACAUGAAGAUGGGAUGUGGAAGCAAGUGAAACCACUCUAUAUGGCAUUGCAGUAGUAAACACCAGGUAUGCAUUUGUCAAGACUCAGGGAAACCUGCAAGACGAUGACGUUUAACGUACACUGUGGACUUUGGUUAAUAACAAUGCACCAGAAGUCCUCUGCUCGUUUUACCCAGUGCUCCACACUUAGGAAUGUAGUGGUAGUGUUAGCAACGGGAUGGGGGAAGGUUUGGGCCACGUGGGAACUCUCACCUCUUAGUCUUUGAAAAGAAUCAACUAUGAUUGCUAAGCAUUUGUUGCUGCUGCUCCUCCUCCCUGUGCUGCUAGUCCUCCUCCUUCGUGGCGGUGUUGUAGAGCUUGCAUGUGAGUGUGUAGGUCCACAUCCUAAUAAGAAGGGGUUAUUCAUGACUCCAUCUUUCUCUGCCUUCUUGCCUUGAGGCAGGAUCCCUCCCUCAACUCAAAGCUUGCUCUGUGCAGUCAUCGCCCCAGUCCUUUUGCUUGUGCGUUUUAGUUUUUCAAGACAGGGUUUCUCUGUGUAGCCUUGGCUGCCCUGGAACACAACCCCUCUUUAAAAAAAUAAUCAUUUUUUAUUUCUCUGUGUGUGUGCUCAAAUGUACUAUGUGUGUGUGUACCAGAAGGUAUCAGAGCCCCUGGAAAUGGAGUUAACCAGUGGUUGUGAGCCUCCCAAUGGAAGAACAGUGAGUUCAAGGCCAGCCUGGGUUAUGUAAGACCCUAUCUGU